rnacentral:rRNA from 1 species
GUAGGGAAUAUUGGGCAAUGGGCGCAAGCCUGACCCAGCCAUGCCGCGUGCAGGAUGACUGCCCUAUGGGUUGUAAACUGCUUUUAUACGGGAAGAAACCUUCGAUCGUGAUCGAAGCUGACGGUAUCGUAUGAAUAAGGAUCGGCUAACUCCGUGCCAGCAGCCGCGGUAAUACGGAGGAUCCAAGCGUUGUCCGGAUUUACUGGGUUUAAAGGGUGCGUAGGUGGACUUUUAAGUCAGUGGUGAAAGCCUGUAGCUUAACUAUAGAAUUGCCAUUGAAACUGAAAGUCUUGAGUACAGUUGAGGUGAGCGGAAUGUAUCAUGUAGCGGUGAAAUGCUUAGAUAUGAUACAGAACACCGAUUGCGAAGGCAGCUCACUAAACUGCAACUGACACUGAGGCACGAAAGCGUGGGGAUCAAACAGGAUUAGAAACCCUUGUAGUCC